GUAGGUGGCAAGCGUUGUCCGGAAUUAUUGGGCGUAAAGCGCGCGCAGGUGGUUCCUUAAGUCUGAUGUGAAAGCCCACGGCUCAACCGUGGAGGGUCAUUGGAAACUGGGGAACUUGAGUGCAGAAGAGGAAAGUGGAAUUCCAAGUGUAGCGGUGAAAUGCGUAGAGAUUUGGAGGAACACCAGUGGCGAAGGCGACUUUCUGGUCUGUAACUGACACUGAGGCGCGAAAGCGUGGGGAGCAAACAGGGAUUAGAUACCCUGGUAGUCCACGCCGUAAACGAUGAGUGCUAAGUGUUAGAGGGUUUUCCGCCCCUUUAGUGCUGCAGCUAACGCAUUAAGCACUCCGCCUGGGAGUACGGCCGCAAGGCUG
rnacentral:rRNA from 1 species